rnacentral:rRNA from 1 species
UACGGAGGGUGCAAGCGUUAUCCGGAUUCACUGGGUUAAAGGGUGCGUAGGCGGGCAGGUAAGUCCGUGGUGAAAUCUCUGAGCUUAACUCAGAAACUGCCAUGGAUACUAUUUGUCUUGAAUAUUGUGGAGGUAAGCGGAAUAUGUCAUGUAGCGGUGAAAUGCUUAGAUAUGACAUAGAACACCAAUUGCGAAGGCAGCUUACUACACAGUUAUUGACGCUGAGGCACGAAAGCGUGGGGAUCAAACAGG